GGGCUUGUGGUCUAAAGGCAUGACGCUUCUCUAGCAUGGAAGAGGUUCGGGGUUCGAUUCCCUGCAAGUCCA